UUAAACGUUGAUUGUGAUUGGAUGCUAGCUGUGAGUGUGGAGUGUUACACCAGUAGUUGGUGUAUGGAGAACAAUGUAGUAGAAAAACGCUGCCUUGCAGACCAAUGUCAGUGAACAGGCAAUUGUGUCCCCAUCUGAAGUUGACACUGUCAGUGACUCUAAAUUGGAGGAGUCACUGAUCACCCGUGAGGCAGUAACAAUUAUCCUGGAUAUGACCACUAAAGUGUUGUUGGGGAGGCCCUCUGAGUCCACCACUUCAAGAGAAGGUCUGUAGUGCACUAGAUGAAUGCAAGCCGUCUGAUGAACACCUGGUGCCUAUCUUUGGAGAAACACUCACCUGACAAAACCUGUAGACUCUAGGACUUCAGAAAGACAUGGAAGGCAUGGACCUCAAAGUGUGGAGCGCAACGAGUUUCAAAACUGUUUUUUGGUUACCACCUACAUCACAGAACCCUUUGUCUGAUUGUCCAUAUAUUAAGGACAACUGGUUGACAUUCCUGAGUGGUGUGAAAGGGCUGAAAUUGAUCACUCUGAAUUAGAAGGACUGGCAAAGAAUAUUGAUGGCAACCAGGGAGGGGGAUCCAGAGGCCCUGGAAUUCGUCCUUUAUUCCUUCGAUUUGCAGGAGGACAUGGAGUUCUUCAUGAAGGUAUACACUGAUACUGAUGGCUACCUUGUGAUUGACAAGUCACUACCAAGGCGAUAUCGCUGAUUACGAAACAGAACCAUAGCGUAACCACAGAUUCACAGAGUAUAGGCAUAGCUAUUUCACAGUAUAUUUUCAGUUCAUGAAAGUUAAUUGUAACAUUUUGCUCACCUAAAAAAAUCUUGUUCAGCAUUUGGUUGUUCAGUUUUUGUGGUAAGUACAUUUAGUUUAAAUGGACGAAUGGACCACCACCUCCACAUCAGCCCCCUCAAUGGUUGUGAGAAUGGCACAGACCUACAAAAGUCCACCACCAUGUCCUUGGUCUUGGGUGUAUUCAACUGCUGCUGGUUUGACAGGGACCAUGAUGGCUGGACAGAAAGUAGCUGCUAAAGCUGGAACAGGGCAGUUGAACUGGUUAUAGAAGAGGUUGAACUCAUUCGCUCUCUCCACAUUACCAUCUGUUAUACCACCAUUCCUCUGCUUGCAGGACAUGAUUGUCUUCAUACCAUCCUAGAUCUCCCUCAUGUUAUUCUCCUGCAACUUUUGCUCCACCUUCCUCCUGUAGGACUCCUCAGCCUCUUGUAAGCAGAACUUGAGUUCCCUCUGUAUGCCCCUCAGCUCCACCUGGUCCUUGUCUUUGAAGGCCCUCUUCUUUUUCUUGAGGAGGUCCUUUACAUCACUGGUUAUCCUGGGCUUGUUGUUAGCAAAGCUGCACACAGUUUUCACAGGAAUAACAAUGUCCAUGCAAAAGUUCAGGUAGUCUGUCAUGCAGUGUGAUCAGUACAGUGUGUCUCCAUGUGUUUCCUGCAGCACACUCCAGUCAGUGGACUCAAAGCAAUCCCUAAGAGUCUCUUCAGCUUCAGGAGACCAUUUCCUGAAGGAGUGUGAUGUUAUGAGUUGCCUUUUAGGCUUGUAUUGAGGCCUUAGGUAGACCAUGUUGUGGUCAGAUUUGGCACCGUAUGCAUCCCUUACAUUGGCAUGCAGAAGGUCAAUUGUCCUUUUUUUCUGGUGGGGAAGUCUACAUAAUGAUAAAACACAGUGAGUGGUGAAUCCAUGGUAACAUGAUUAAAAUCACCUGAUAUGGCAAUGAAGGCCUCCGAGUGUUGCAUUUGCAGCCUCGCAAUGGUUGUAUGGCUUCACAUGCCGUCCCUGCUUCCACCCCUGGACGAAUGUAAACACAAACAGCAAUUGUGUGCAAGAACUCCCUGGGCAUGUAGCAUGGUCAGAGACUUACCACCAGCAGUUCAAUAUCCUGACAGCAGAUCAUCUCCUUAACUGUCACAUGCCCUAGGUUAAACCAUCUGAUGUUUAUGAGUAGUGCAAGUCCCCCACCUUCUCUUUUGCCACAUAGUUUAGCGUCCCUGUCAGCUCUCACGGUGGUGAGUCUGAGUCUUGGAAUGUCCACGUUAGCAUCAGAAGUGUUGCCGGUUAGUCAUGUUUCUGUGAGACAUAGUAGACUGCACUCCCCGUUGGUCGUCUGAUUUUUAACCAGAGCUGCUAGUUUGUCGGCUUUGUUUGCCAGCGAGUUUACAUUCCCCAUCACCACAGAGGGAAUAGAUGGCUUAUAUCUCCUGCAUUUCUCUAUUUGCCAAGCCUUUAGCACCGGCUCUACAUCCCCUGUACCCGCUCCUCAGGAUUAGGUUGCACUAUGCCAACGUGAACCUUUCAUUGAAGUGCUAGUGGCUCUUCCCUAAACAAAGUUAAUGCCACUCGCUUGCAUAAAAAAACCCACCAUAUCCAUAGGAUAUACAGAAUACACAGUAAACAUGCAGUAGAGAAACAGGAAGAGUAAGAAGAAUCAAAAAGAGCAGCAAAACACUGCAACACAGACAGAGCUACUGGGUAGGCUGCCUAUUCAUGUCGCUGCUGGAAGCUGUUCUCCUGUGUACUCCACUAAAAUAAAUACGAUUGGCCAGUCAAAGUGAAAUGAGUUACAAUUGUCUUCUUAAUAGUCCACGUGAUAAUACGUCAUUUCUCUUAGUUUUUCCAUACAGUCUGCGGUUAAAGUCAUCCUCAUACAUGUAAACAAACUGACGUGCACAGGUGAAUAUGCAGGGUGUUUUGGUUAGUCAGCAAGCUGCAGUAUGUGGUCCCCUACACAGUUAACCAUAAUGGCUACUACAAGCGGCUAGUUUCUGUGUUUACUUUAGUUCAGACUCAGAAACAAAGUUCUUAAGCAAUUCAUGUAAAAAUCAUGUUUGUUUGGAAAGAUGUCGAUAUAAUUAUGUGAUAAAUGUCUUUUUGUGAAUUGCCAGAAUCUCUGUAACGGAGCUGGAGAGUGCAAAAUUAGUAUAACACAUAGAGCCACAAUGGCCAUAUUUAUGGGAAAUACAUCAGGUUAAAAUAAACCGGAAUUUUCCUUUAA